rnacentral:rRNA from 1 species
UACGUAGGGGGCUAGCGUUGUCCGGAAUCAUUGGGCGUAAAGCGCGUGUAGGCGGUCCGGUAAGUCCGCUGUGAAAGUCGGGGGCUCAACCCUCGGAUGCCGGUGGAUACUGUCGGGCUUGAGUACGGAAGAGGCGAGUGGAAUUCCUGGUGUAGCGGUGAAAUGCGCAGAUAUCGGGAAGAACACCAGUGGCGAAGGCGGACUCA